GACGAACGCUGGCGGCGUGCUUAACACAUGCAAGUCGAGCGGUAAGGCCCUUUCGGGGGUACACGAGCGGCGAACGGGUGAGUAACACGUGGGUGACCUGCCCUCAGCUCUGGGAUAAGCCUGGGAAACUGGGUCUAAUACCGGAUAUGACUCCAUGACGCAUGUUGUGGGGUGGAAAGCCUUGUGCGGCUGAGGAUGGGCCCGCGGCCUAUCAGCUUGUUGGUGGGGNGAUGGCCUACCAAGGCGACGACGGGUAGCCGGCCUGAGAGGGCGACCGGCCACACUGGGACUGAGACACGGCCCAGACUCCUACGGGAGGCAGCAGUGGGGAAUCUUGCGCAAUGGGCGAAAGCCUGACGCAGCGACGCCGCGUGAGGGA
rnacentral:rRNA from 1 species